GCCUAGUGGCUUGGUCGGUUAAGCGUCUGACUUCAGCUCAGGUCAUGAUUUCACGGUUUGUGGGUUUGAGCCCCACAUCGGGCU
rnacentral:tRNA from 1 species